rnacentral:pre_miRNA from 1 species
GCUGCCAGCAGACGCUCUGACAGCGUUGCACUACUGUGCAGCCUGCAGCAAGCAGUGCAAUAGCAUUGUCAAAGCAUCUGAGGGCAGC